rnacentral:rRNA from 1 species
UUAGGAAUCUUGGACAAUGGGCGCAAGCCUGAUCCAGCCAUGCCGCGUGAGUGAUGAAGGCCUUAGGGUUGUAAAGCUCUUUCAGCGGGGAAGAUAAUGACGGUACCCGCAGAAGAAGCCCCGGCUAACUUCGUGCCAGCAGCCGCGGUAAUACGAAGGGGGCUAGCGUUGCUCGGAAUCACUGGGCGUAAAGCGCACGUAGGCGGCUUUCUAAGUCAGGGGUGAAAUCCUGGAGCUCAACUCCAGAACUGCCUUUGAUACUGGGAAGCUCGAGUCCGGAAGAGGUGAGUGGAACUCCGAGUGUAGAGGUGAAAUUCGUAGAUAUUCGGAAGAACACCAGUGGCGAAGGCGGCUCACUGGUCCGGUACUGACGCUGAGGUGCGAAAGCGUGGGGAGCAAACAGG